rnacentral:rRNA from 1 species
AAGCUCGUAGUUGAAUUUCGGGAUUGACGUGAUGGUCAUGCCUUAAGGGGUAUGAACUGUUACUGUUGAUUUCUCACCUUCUGGAGAAACUUGAUGUCCUUUAUUGGGUGUCUUGCGGAUCCAGGACCUUUACCUUGAAAAAAUUAGAGUGUUUAAAGCAGGCAUUUUUGCUCGAAUACAUUAGCAUGGAAUAAUAGAAUAGGACGGCAUGGUUCUAUUUUGUUGGUUUCUAGGAUCACCGUAAUGAUUAAUAGGGAUAGUUGGG